rnacentral:rRNA from 1 species
AGCAGCCGCGGUAAUUCCAGCUCCAAUAGCGUAUAUUAAAGUUGUUGCAGUUAAAAAGCUCGUAGUUGAAUUUCGGGGUUAGUAGGUUGGUCGUGCCUUUGGUAUGUACUGGUCUCACUGAUUCCUCCUUCUUGAAGAACUGUAAUGUCAUUAAUUUGGUGUUGCAGGGAAACAGGACUGUUACUUUGAAAAAAUUAGAGUGUUUAAAGCAGGCUAACGCUUGAAUACAUUAGCAUGGAAUAAUGAAAUAGGACGAUCGAUCCUAUUUUGUUGGUUUCUAGGAUUGACGUAAUGAUUAAUAGGGAUAGUUGGGGGCAUUAGUAUUCAAUUGUCAGAGGUGAAAUUCUUGGAUUUAUUGAAGACUAACUACUGCGAAAGCAUUUGCCAAGGAUGUUUUCAUUAAUCAAGAACGAAAGUUAGGGGAUCGAAGACGAUCAGAUACCGUCGUAGUCUUAACCAUAAACUAUGCCGACUAGGGAUCGGAUGAUGUUAAUUUUUAAUGACUCAUUCGGCGCCUUAC